AUACCAGCACCCCGAGUGGUCGGGACGAUUAUUGGGCCUAAAGCAUCCGUAGCCGGUCCUACAAGUCUUCCGUUAAAUCCACCUGCUUAACAGAUGGGCUGCGGAAGGUACUAUAGGGCUAGGAGGCGGGAGAGGCAAGCGGUACUCAGUGGGUAGGGGUAAAAUCCUCUGAUCCACUGAAGACCACCAGUGGCGAAGGCGGCUUGCCAGAACGCGCUCGACGGUGAGGGAUGAAAGCUGGGGGAGCAAACCGGAUUAGAUACCCGGGUAGUCCCAGCUGUAAACGAUGCAGACACGGUGAUGGGUUGGCUUAGUGCCAACUCAGUGCCGCAGGGAAGCCGUUAAGUCUGCCGCCUGGGGAGUACGGUCGCAAGACUGAAACUCAAAUGAAUUGGCGGGG
rnacentral:rRNA from 1 species